AUGGGUGUUAAGACCGCAUACGACCCAUUGGCGAGGGCUGAUGGAGGAAAGCCGCAAGGCGCAUUGGGAGGGGUCCGCGUCGGAUUAGCUAGUUGGUGGGGUAACGGCUCACCAAGGCCGCGAUCCGUAGCUGGUCUGAGAGGACGGCCAGCCACACUGGGACUGAGACACGGCCCAGACUCCUACGGGAGGCAGCAGUUAGGGAAUUUUGACAAUGGGCGCAAGCCUGAUCGAGUGACGCCGCGUGCAGGAAGACGCCUCUCGGGGUGUAAACUGCUUUUCUGCGGGACGAGCAAGGACGGUACCGCAGGAAGAAGCCUCGGCUAACUACGUGCCAGCAGCCGCGGUAAUACGUAGGAGGCGAGCGUUGUCCGGAAUUACUGGGCGUAAAGCGCGCGUAGGCGGCGCGCCGCGUCGGGCGUGAAAGCUCCCGGCUUAGCUGGGAGAGGGCGUCCGAAACGGGCG
rnacentral:rRNA from 1 species